UAGUCGAACGGUAACAGGAAGCAGCUUGCUGCUUUGCUGACGACUGGCGGACGGGUGAGUAAUGUCUGGGAAACUGCCUGAUGGAGGGGGAUAACUACUGGAAACGGUAGCUAAUACCGCAUAACGACGCCAAGACCAAAGAGGGGGACCUUCGGGCCUCUUGCCAUCGGAUGUGCCCAGAUGGGAUUAGCUAGUAGGUGGGGUAAAGGCUCACCUAGGCGACGAUCCCUAGCUGGUCUGAGAGGAUGACCAGCCACACUGGAACUGAGACACGGUCCAGACUCCUACGGGAGGCAGCAGUGGGGAAUAUUGCACAAUGGGCGCAAGCCUGAUGCAGCCAUGCCGCGUGUAUGAAGAAGGCCUUCGGGUUGUAAAGUACUUUCAGCGGGGAGGAAGGGAGUAAAGUUAAUACCUUUGCUCAUUGACGUUACCCGCAGAAGAAGCACCGGCUAACUCCGUGCCAGCAG
rnacentral:rRNA from 1 species